UCGUGCGAUACGGGCUGCACUGUUCUAAGAACGCUACUAGGACCGAGACAAAGAGACCAGAGAGGACACCUGUGUGCAGUUCGAAGAAAGUUGUAUUGCUGUAACGCCGCAGGGACAAGUGACCCUGGGCAGGGGUUGGGUUACAGCUUUUAUAGGGAGUAUAGGUGAUAAGGGGAGGUGCUCCAGAUCCCUUGACCAUCUUUGCAUCUCUCCUCUGGACUUGCUCCAAGAGAUCCACAGCCUUCUUACACUGGGGACCAGAGAGCUGGAUGCAGCAGCAGUGGGUCUCACCAGAGCAGAGCAGAAGGGCAGAAUCACCUCCCUCAACUUACAGAGAAAGUAAAAUAUUUAAAUAAAAAAAAAAUAUCUUCUUCUUUUACUUUUUUUUUUCUAUAGGGAAGAUAAAAGCAAUAAACAUGUAAGCAUUAGACAGA